GUGCUUGCUUCGGCAGCACAUAUACUAAAACUGGAACAUUACAGAGAAGAUUAGCACAGUCCUGAGCAAGGAUGACACCCAAAUUCAUGAAUGAUUCUGUAUUUUU